rnacentral:rRNA from 1 species
UACAGAGGUCUCAAGCGUUGUUCGGAUUCAUUGGGCGUAAAGAGCGUGUAGGCGGCCUGAUAAGUCGGUUGUGAAAGUCAAGGGCUCAACCCUUGAAUGCCGACCGAUACUGUCAGGCUAGAGUCCGGAAGAGGCGAGUGGAAUUCCUGGUGUAGCGGUGAAAUGCGCAGAUAUCAGGAGGAACACCAAUGGCGAAGGCAGCUCGCUGGGACGGUACUGACGCUGAGACGCGAAAGCGUGGGGAGCGAACAGG